rnacentral:lncRNA from 1 species
AAUCAUUCCGACCCAUUGAAAGGAGUUUUCAAUGAUAUUGUGAUAGAGAUCACAAUAUAUCUCACUACCAGUCAGAGUAGAACCUAUGGGGUCACACACACUAGAGGCAUUGAUCGAUCCGAUGGUUGAAUCGUGAUUAGGAAUCACAAGUAAUCAAUUCGAUUGAUAAUAAGUUGAGGAAGGAACAAAGGGAAUUAAUUAAUUGGACUUGAAACAAGAGUCCUACUUGGAGUUGGAUUCUUGGAGUCCUAAUUGGAUUAGGACUGGGAUUCCUACUUGGACUGGAAAUCCUAUUUGGAGUAGGACUAGGAUUCCUACUUGAAGUAGGAUUCCUACAAUCCUAAUUAGAUUAGGAGUUUUGAAUUAAAUUUGGAUUCCUACUUGGAGUAGGAUUUCUAGAGUCCUAAUCGGAUUAGGACUUGGAAUUCAAAUCAGAGUCCUAAUUGGAUUAGGACUAAAAUUAAAUAAGUCCUAAUUGGAUUAGGGUUUCUUAAGUCCUAA